rnacentral:misc_RNA from 1 species
GAUGAAGAACGUAGCGAAAUGCGAUAAGUAGUGUGAAUUGCAGAAUUCAGUGAAUCAUUGAAUCUUUGAACGCACAUUGCGCCUUCUAGUAUUCUGGGAGGCAUGCCUGUUUGAGCGUCAUUAAACCUCUCUCAAGUAUGAUUACUUGGAUGUGAAGGAAGAGUACCUUAAACUUAAGGAGUGUUCUCCUUUGAAAUUGAUUAGCAGAUGGUAAUGUUAUUAAAUCCCUGAUGUUGUAAGAAAUAACAGUGGUUUUGUAGACUAUUAUCUAGCUUUAAAUUAUAAUUUUUAUUAUGGUUGACCUCAAAUCAGGUAAGGAUACCCGCUGAACUUAAGCAUAUCAAUAAGCGGAGGA